UACGUAGGGGGCAAGCGUUGUCCGGAUUUAUUGGGCGUAAAGAGCGUGUAGGCGGCCUGACAGGUCUGCUGUGAAAACUCGAGGCUCAACCUCGAGACGUCGGCGGAAACCGUCUGGCUAGAGUCCGGAAGAGGAGAGUGGAAUUCCUGGUGUAGCGGUGAAAUGCGCAGAUAUCAGGAAGAACACCUAUGGCGAAGGCAGCUCUCUGGGACGGUACUGACGCUGAGACGCGAAAGCGUGGGGAGCAAACAGG
rnacentral:rRNA from 1 species